UACAGAGGCCUCGAGCGUUAGGCGGAAUCACUGGGCUUAAAGCGUGUGUAGGCGGACUUCUAAGUACCUUGUGAAAUCCCACGGCUCACCCGUGGAACUGCUCGGUAUACUGGUCGUCUUGAGCCACCUAGGGGCAACCGGAACAAAUGGUGGAGCGGUGAAAUGCGUAGAUAUCAUUUGGAACGCCAAUGGUGAAAACAGGUUGCUGGGGGGUGUGCUGACGCUGAGACACGAAAGCCAGGGGAGCGAACGGG
rnacentral:rRNA from 1 species